rnacentral:rRNA from 1 species
GUCCACGCGGUAACGAUGAAUACUAGGUGUUGGGAGCAAGCUUCUCGGUGCCGUCGCAAACGCAAUAAGUAUUCCACCUGGGAGUACGUUCGCAAGAAUGAACUCAAAGGAAUUGACGGGACCCGCACAAGCGGUGGAGCAUGUGGUUUAAUUCGAAGCAACGCGAAGAACCUUACCUGAUCUUGACAUCCCGAUGACCGCUUCGUAAUGGAAGCUUUUCUUCGGAACAUCGGUGACAGGUGGUGCAUGGUUGUCGU